rnacentral:lncRNA from 1 species
CGCCAAUAUUGCUGUAUUUAUAAAUAAUAAUUCUACAAAAUAUAAGUUAUCGUAAUGAAACAGUAAUAAAUUCGAGCCCACUGAAUUCACAGUGUUUCCUUAAGGAAUUUAAUCACCUCCUAGUACCCAAAGUUAUGGAUUAUUUCCUCCCAGGAUAGAACGAAUCACACACUGAUGUAGCGGUACUUCAAACCCCAGUGUUUCAGCGAACACAAAGUUCGGUAGCAAAUCAUACUUACAGUUGCUUUGUUUGAAGUUACAACAAUGCAGAACAAAGGAGUAGAAACUCAAAAAAUCGUAUGAAAAUGCUGAGAGGAAGGAGUGCAAUGUAUAGCCAAAGUUGAGCGUUUUUCAGUUUUGUUGGUGUUUUCGUUUUUCGUUCGUGUCUUUCUUCAACAGCUGCUGCACAUAUAUAUAUAGCAGCCAGCUUUGAAGAUAAACGACCCUCCAUCCUCCAUGGUAGAGCAUGCACUAGCUUGUUUGUGGAGCAAGCACUUGGCCAUAGUGGGAAGAGCAUUAGGCGGCUGCUAUUGCAGCUGGUGGUCAAUACACGGAUUGGAAAAUAUCUGUUACAAAUGCGGAUAAUCUUACGUUAAUAUUUACUAUUAACAAAUAAAUUUGGUCCAAAAAAUUAAUCAAUCAAUCGAUCAUUUGACCAAAUCCAAAUCCAAAUCCGAAGCCGAAGCCGAAGCCGAGCGAGCGACGACGGCAGCGCGAGGCUUGCUUUCUUCUUAACUCUUUAAGAGCUACAAGAAGAGCAAUUAUAUAUAUAUACCCACCAAAAAUCUUUUCCUCUUCCAAUAUAGGACAAUGUCUCAUUGUCAAGAGGGGGAAACUUAAAAUUUUACUCAAAAAUUUUAUUUUCCCUCCAUUUCCCAUUCACCCUCAUUUUAAUACUAUUUUAUCUUAAAAAUAAAACCUCAACAAAAUAUGUAGAUUGAACAGAGUUAGUUUUAAAAAAAUGAAUAGACUUAACUAGUUGUGCGUUUGAAAUUACACAGUAAGACCAACUCUACCGAAAAUAUGUACAACAGUCAUGCCAUAAUCAAAAUUAUAAGUUGCAAGAUAUAUUGGACCAUCAUAAGAAAAAAGAGAUGCAUUCAGUAAUCGAUAGUGUCAGAACAGAGACAAUAGCCUUUUUCCUUGAGUUUCUUCCUAGGUUGCCUAACAUAAAGAAGGAUAAAGGUAGGCCAUGGUUUGAAAUCUUUAACUAAUAUUCCUAUGUGAUUAGAGAACAAUCCACUCAAGCUACUACACAAAGAACCAAAUUCUCUAUAUAUGAAAUUUGUAAAGAGUAAUUUCUUACUUUAUGCUAAGUUAAAAUCUUUUUUUCUCAAAACAAGUACUGGUGAAUACAAUUAGAAUUGUAAAUGACUAAGUGAUCUUUAGAAAAAUCAGUAGAUCAAUUGUUCAGAUAUUUAAGACAAUUAUCUAUAAACUAAUUGACUUGUAGAAACUGGGCUUAGGGAUCAAGGAAACAUAUACUAUGAACUGUUGCAUUUUGUACUGAUUUCUCUUUGCAGAUCAAAGGUUUCAUUUCUUAUUGAUUAACUCAUGAAUAUUUAUUUAUAUGUGUUUAAAUCUCUACUGCACAUUAAACAAUAAAGGUUUCUAUUAAAGCAGAGUAUUACUUCAUUUUCUCUAUCUCAUGUUUAUUAGCAAGAGAUUUUCUCGCCGCACUUGUGAUAUCCUGAGAAUAAAGGAGGGAAGUAUAAUUGGUAGUAUAGAUAAUUCAAGAGCAAUUAUACACAAAUAUACAAGUGGAACUACUAACCGGCCCUAGCAGCUUAUUAAACAAUAGUGAAUGAAUGAUAAUUGGUAGCACAAAUAAGGCUUUAUGGAUGUAAAACACAAAGAUUUAUUUCUUGAAAUCCCUGUAGUAUUGGAAAAAGUUUGUUCUUCUGGUUUUUUGCUCACUUGUAAUUACUACAACACUUUGAGCAAACAAAAUACUACAACACUUUCUUAGUGCUAGUUUUAUAAUAUAAUUACUUUUCUAUAAAAAAAGGAAUUACUUCUUGAACCUCAAAAUUCUUUGGUGAAAGACACUAAGAUUUAUCAAUAAAACUAAGGAACAAAAAAGUCACUAGAGUUUUAAUUUCAACAAGGCAACUAAUCAUGUUAAGCUCCUAGUUGAAAUCACAGUAAUUGUUAGAUUUCACCAAAUUUUCUAAGAGAACAAAUAACAUCUAAUCUCACAAAAUAUCCAAUCCCUUGGAACCCGAAAAGCCCAUUGAAACCAGAGAUCCAAAUAUGACAUCUUCCUUGAGAUGAAUAGUUGAUAGUAAUACUCAGAUCACCAAAUGCAACUAUUUUCGCUCCGAGUUUCCAUCACUAAUAAGGAUAGAAUCAGUACAAUUGAAAUGCAUUAAAUUAAUUUUCAAACAUAGAUGCUAAAGAAACGAAUAUAGACAAAGCAGAACCUUUUACAGUUAGAUGUGGAAAUCAAAGUACCACAACCAAAGAGAGACUUCCGUCCACAAAGCCAGAAACAACCUAUUUUUUAGGAGUAUAACAACCUCAAAAAUAUAGCCAAAGCAGAUGCCAAAAUCUACAUCUAUCCCAAUUCCAAAAAGCACAAAUAUACCAAAAAUAUAAAAUUAUAGUCACAAUCUGCUUGUGAAUCUAUCAAUCAAUAGAAAAGAACAUAAUAUUUUUUUUAAAAAAAAAAGUAAAAUAGAUAUACCAACCGAAUAAGGCAUGAGACCAGUGAUUAGAACUAGAAUGGAGCUCUAAGUACUGAUGUGGAUGUGGAUGGACCACACUAUCAUUAUUUAGAACCUGCAAGAAAAUGGUUUAUUUGAUGCCCUAGUUUUUGCUUUGAGAAAGCGCCGACCCUGGUUAGGACCUCCUAACUCAAAACCUAAACCGAAGCAUUCAAAGAAUUGAAACCUUAAACUAGAAACAACUGAAAAUAGAGAUGAAGGAGCUUACAAUUUCAAGCAAUAGUCAAAGCACUGGAAGAAAAUGUUGUUGCUCAUUUGAACCUCAUAACUCAAAGCACGAGUGGAAGGGUUGAACGAAUUGGGGAAGGUGAGAGCCAAAAUGAAAAUA